CCCAGCUCGUAAUGCUAGAGCGCUUUUUCAAUGUGCUCCCAACGAGAAGGCGACGACGCAUUCGUAUGUCAACUUUCGAUGCCAUUGACUGCGCCUACCAUGGUGACCACGGAUAACGGGGAAUCAUGGUUCGAUUCCGUACAGGGCCCCGGACAAACGGCUACCACAUGCAAGGAAGGCAGCAGGUGCGCAAAUAACCCACUCCUGACGCGGGAAGGUAGUGACG
rnacentral:rRNA from 1 species